rfam:Schistosoma haematobium scaffold1369_3, whole genome shotgun sequence.
AUCCAGCUGACGAGUCUCAAAUAAGACUGAACGUGCGUCACACUGGAU